ACCUGGGUGGCUCAGCUGGUUGAGCAUCCGACUUCGGCUCGGGUCACGAUCUCACGGCUUGUGGGUUCAAGCCCCGCAUCAGGCU
rfam:Felis catus isolate Cinnamon breed Abyssinian chromosome B3, whole genome shotgun sequence.